rnacentral:rRNA from 1 species
ACGGAAGGCAGCAGUGGGGAAUAUUGGGCAAUGGAGGCAACUCUGACCCAGCAACGCCGCGUGAAUGAUGAAGGUCUUCGGAUUGUAAAGUUCUGUGACGGGGGACGAACACAAUGACGGUACCCCGAUAGCAAGCCACGGCUAACUACGUGCCAGCAGCCGCGGUAAUACGUAGGUGGCAAGCGUUAUCCGGAAUGACUGGGCGUAAAGGGUGCGUAGGUGGUUUGGCAAGUUGGCGGCGUAAUUCCGGGGCUCAACUCCGGCGCUACCGCCAAAACUGUCGGACUCGAGUGCAGGAGGGGUAAGUGGAAUUCCUAGUGUAGCGGUGGAAUGCGUAGAUAUUAGGAAGAACAUCGGUGGCGAAGGCGACUUACUGGACUGUAACUGACACUGAGGCACGAAAGCGUGGGGAGCAAACAGGAUUAGAUACCCUGGUA